GUGAGUCAUCGAAUCUUUGAACGCACAUUGCGCCCCUUGGCAUUCCGAGGGGCAUGCCCGUUCGAGCGUCAUGACAACCCCUCAAGCCUCGCUUGGUGUUGGGGCCUGCGGUGACCCGUAGCCCCUAAAGUCAGUGGCGGCGCCCGCGGGCUCUGAGCGUAGUAAUCCUUCUCGCUACAGGGCCCCGUGGGCGCUGGCCAUCAACCCCUCACCUCUAUGGUUGACCUCGGAUCGGGUAGGGAUACCCGCUGAACUUAAGCAUAUCAAUAAGCGGAGGA
rnacentral:misc_RNA from 1 species